rnacentral:rRNA from 1 species
CCUACGGGAGGCAGCAGUGAGGAAUAUUGGUCAAUGGGAGAGAUCCUGAACCAGCCAAGCCGCGUGAGGGAAGACGGCCCUAUGGGUUGUAAACCUCUUUUGUCGGAGAACAAAACCCGGGACGUGUCCCGGACUGCGUGUAUCCGAAGAAAAAGCAUCGGCUAACUCCGUGCCAGCAGCCGCGGUAAUACGGAGGAUGCGAGCGUUAUCCGGAUUUACUGGGUGUAAAGGGAGCGUAGACGGCAGAGCAAGUCUGAAGUGAAAGCCCGCGGCCCAACUGCGGGACUGCUUUGGAAACUGCCCGG